CCCUUAGAUGUUCUGGGCUGCACGCGCGCUACACUGAUGCAUCCAACAAGUUUUUCCCUUGUUCGAGAGGACUAGGUAAUCUUAUGAGAAUGCAUCGUGAUGGGGAUAGAUUAUUGCAAUUAUUAAUCUUCAACGAGGAAUUCCUAGUAAGCGCGAGUCAUCAGCUCGUGCUGAUUACGUCCCUGCCCUUUGUACACACCGCCCGUCGCUGCAACUGAUUGGGUGACCUGGUGAACAUCUUGGACCGGCCCACUCAAUUUCGAGAGGACUGGAAAAGGCCGUAAAUCAGGUACAUCUAGAAAUUGCAAAAGUCGUAACA
rnacentral:rRNA from 1 species